GAAAGCUUGGUUUGAGUAAUUCAAUUUCUUGUGACCUCCGACGAUGCAUGUAAUCUGAGAACAAAGGGGGAUGAGCUUGAGACCAGAGAAGCUUAAGUUGGAGUUGAAGAAACUUCAGAAGAUGAAGGAGUUCAAACCUAACAUGAUGAAAAAAGAGUUGUAGAGAGUGAAAUCUUCUGGUAAAGCUUUUGCAUCCGCAGGUUAUCCUCCAACAAAGCUUUUAGCUGAUGUUCAGCUGCUUGAUGAUCUCAUUUUUGUUUGGUUGCAUUGGUGAAUCUGACGUUUAUGUGUCAUGAAAUUAUGAUUGUGCAUGUAGAAUUGAUUGAAACAGAACUUAUUAUCAUUCUCUGUUUUGAUUCUGAAUACAUAGAGAGGCUGCAUUGUUGAUUUAGAUUGUGUUUUUUUAAGACUACAAUAGUGAAUAGAUCUGUACAAGUGUAUUUUCUGUUUUUGUUGGUUGUGAUUUACAGAAAAAAAAGCAUGGUAUGGUCAAUGAAAGAUUUCAAUUCCAAAUUCUACAAGGUCUACCCUGAGAGCACUCACCUUAUGAUUUUGUGGUUCGAGAGGCCAAUCAUCUAUGACGUUCGUGCGAAAUCUUACCUAGUUGAGAGUACUUCCGGGAGCCGUGAUCUCCAUAUGGUACUUUGCUUCCUUCCCUUGUAAUAGUAAUUGAUUAUAUCAUGUUGUGUGGUUUUGGUCUAUGAACUAUACAUCACUACAAGAAAACAUGAGAUUACCGACUACAAAAACAGUCACUAACCAGUCGCAAACUACUUAGUAACGACUGAUUAGCGACUGACAUACGUAGUCGCUAAACAGAGCGUCGCUAAAGAGUCAGUCAAUGAGCUACUAUUUGGCGACUGAUAAUAUUGGUCGAUGUUCCCUCACCAAACAGUCGUUAAAUGUUGCGACUGAGUUGCAACGCCUGAGCGACUAUUUUGGUUACUCAUUUGCGACUGUUUUGGUUACUGAUUUGUGUAUGUUUCAGUGACU